ACCUUUGUGGUGUAGUGGCAGCACACUCGACGCGUAACCAAGAGGUCCGUGGUUCGAUUCCCAGCGAAGGCG
rnacentral:tRNA from 1 species